GAUGAACGCUAGCGGCAGGCCUAACACAUGCAAGUCGAGGGGUAACAUAGAGAAGCUUGCUUUUCUGAUGACGACCGGCGCACGGGUGAGUAACGCGUAUACAACCUACCUUUUAGCGGGAAUAGCCCAAGGAAACUUGGAUUAAUGCCCCAUAGUAUGGAGGUCUCUCCUGAGAUUUUCAUUAAACAUUUAUGGCUAUUAGAUGGGUAUGCGUCCUAUUAGUUAGUUGGUAAGGUAACGGCUUACCAAGGCAGCGAUAGGUAGGGGUCCUGAGAGGGAGAUCCCCCACACUGGUACUGAGACACGGACCAG
rnacentral:rRNA from 1 species